GCAGCCCCCAGUAGCUUGGGCUUAAUAAUAACUCCAUUCUUUUUUAUUUAAAAAAAGUGGGGAGGGAUGGAGGAGGGAAGCUGUGGAGAGCAGGGGGAGGAGGGAAAUCGUUUCAGGACAUCCGGAGUAGCCCAGGAUGAAGAAGAUAUAAAGGUUAAGGUUGUGGUAUCAUGUCCAUUUUUCGUAGAAGCCCGUUUCAGCGGCGGGUGAGGAAUGGUGUGCAUUCUCGAAGCGACACGCCAGCGAUUCUAAAGCCCUCGUUUAGACCUUAGCUCGCGAGGAGAGUCCAAGACGCUAGCUUUAGCAGCCUGAUUCACCCUAGGGGGCAGCGCCCUUUGACCCACUCCACUCUCGGCUGCCUGACCCUUGUCAUUUCUCGCUGCGGGGGGAGAGGAGGGGAGGAGGAGGCUGUGGCCUCUAGGGGAAGAGGGAUGGAGAAUGGUGAGGAGCUGGAGCAGAGUGUCAAAAGUGAUCUCCUUCAGAGCAGCUUUCUCCCCCACUUCCACCCCCGCCCGCCCCUUUUCUCCCAUGGUUAUGGGCAACCUCCCUUGCCCAGGUCCGGAGCCGAGAAAUGGUAGGAUCUAACCGCUUUGCUUCUUAUCCAAGCUGGCAGCGACGGCAGCGUGGUAACUCUACCCAGGGCUCUCAAGCUGCGGUUGGACGGCUGACUGCGCUACGGGGCUCCUGGGAGAGAGGCCGAGACAGGAGAGGGAGCUAGCAGGGAAAAGAGUGCAGAAGAGAAGACACGGGGAGACACUCAACUGAGAGACAGAGACAAAGGCGAGCGAGUCGAAGAAAGAACGAUGUUGCAGGUUGCUUUGCCUCCCAGAGGAGCAAAAGGGGAAGCUUCCAGAGUUGAAGUGGUUCACAGAAAGAUGAUCCUGUAGUGAUGAGCUAUGGAGGCUGCCGAAGUAAUAUCAGCAGUAGUGAGAUUAAGCUAAAGGAUACACUCUAGUUUACAGAGCUGAGGCAGCGGCCUAGGGUGAAAGAGCAAAAGGCCCUCUUUUCGACAGUUCAGAGGCUAGAAGGUUAUAGCAGCUUGAGUAUCAACAAAGGGAGACUGGGAAGAGAGAAGAGCCAGGGAAUGGAAGAUGAGCCACUGGGAGAGGAAGAGGGGGCAGCUGCUAAGAGCUCUCUGGCUGCUGUGGAAUAAUAAAAAAUAAUUAAUAA
rnacentral:lncRNA from 1 species